CCGCACUGCUGCCUGCCUUCUCUCCGCCGCGCCCUCCUCCCCGUGCACGGUUCGCCGACGCCGAGGCCCAGGCUGCCGCGCUCCGGGCCCGCGCCGGCCGGCUCGAGCGCAUGCCGCCGACCACGACGGGCUGCUCGACACGCUCCUCGCCGCCACGGGCAACGGACGGUAGGACGAGGAGAGGGAGGUGGAGGCAGCGGAGGAGCCGGUAGGAUGACGAGAGGAAGGUUGAGGCGGCGGAAGAGCCAGUAGGAGUAGGAGGGGGAAGUGGAGGCAGCGGAGGAGGAGACGGGGAUGACGGGGACAGAUCGGCUACACGCCGGAGGACGAGGGCAUCGCACGGCCUACCGAUUCCUUCCUCCCCGCGCCCUGGUUACAAGACCGUCGCUGCCGUCGCCCAACACCAACCGCCUUGCCCCGAUUAGCUCUUGGAGAUGCGGACGACAGGAUGUGCUCCAGCGCCGCCGCCUACGAGCGCCUCCCAGACGAUGAGUCGACAACGAAGCUCGGGGACGUGAUAUGGCGCUCGGUGUAGGUGGCCAUGGUGGACCUGAAGAAGCUGGCUGAGAUAAGCGAUGGGUGAGCUGCUUCUCAAAUGUCCCAUAGCAUACCGGCUGCAGCACCCCGAGCUCCUCAUUAUCUGCUCCAUGAUCAAGAUCCAUCGCCACCGACAGCCACGCACUUGGAUGCAAGGCUUGCCCGGACGACUCUGAACCGAAACCAAUCCUAGACUGGGAGUCGUAUGCAUCGUCCAUUUGUGCAUAUCCAACCAAAGCACUUAAUUCACAGUCCGCAAAAUAGGUAAUCUAUGUAACGCAAGG